UACAGAGGGGGCAAGCGUUGUUCGGAGUUACUGGGCGUAAAGGGCGCGUAGGCGGCCUUCUAAGUCGAACGUGAAAUCCCCGGGCUCAACCCGGGAACUGCGUCCGAUACUGGAAGGCUUGAAUCCGGGAGAGGGAUGCGGAAUUCCAGGUGUAGCGGUGAAAUGCGUAGAUAUCUGGAGGAACACCGGUGGCGAAGGCGGCAUCCUGGACCGGUAUUGACGCUGAUGAGCGAAAGCCAGGGGAGCAAACGGG
rnacentral:rRNA from 1 species